rnacentral:rRNA from 1 species
AUUGAACGCUGGCGGCAGGCCUAACACAUGCAAGUCGAGCGAGCGGCGGACGGGUGAGUAAUGUAUGGGGACUGCCCGAUAGAGGGGGAUAACUACUGGAAACGUUGGCUAAUACCGCAUACUAUCGGAUAACCCAUAUGUGAUUAGCUAGUAGGUGGGGUAAAGGCUCACCUAGGCGACGGUCUCUAGCUGGUCUGAGAGGAUGAUCAGCCACACUGGGACUGAGACACGGCCCAGACUCCUACGGAGUCAGCAGUGGGGAGUAUUGCACGAUGGGAGCAAGCCUGAUGCAGCCAUGCCGCGUGUAUUAAGAAGGCCUUAGGGUUGUAAAGUACUUUCAGCGGAGAGGAGAAAGGCGAAGAAGAAGCACCGGCUAACUCCGUGCCAGCAGCCGCGGUAAAAG